UACGAAGGGGGCUAGCGUUGCUCGGAAUGACUGGGCGUAAAGGGCGCGUAGGCGGAUGGCACAGUCAGAUGUGAAAUUCCCGGGCUCAACCUGGGGGCUGCAUUUGAUACGUGUUGUCUAGAGUGAGGAAGAGGGUUGUGGAAUUCCCAGUGUAGAGGUGAAAUUCGUAGAUAUUGGGAAGAACACCGGUGGCGAAGGCGGCAACCUGGUCCUUGACUGACGCUGAGGCGCGAAAGCGUGGGGAGCAAACAGG
rnacentral:rRNA from 1 species